rnacentral:rRNA from 1 species
GACGAACGCUGGCGGCGUGCCUAAUACAUGCAAGUAGAACGCUGAAGGAGGAGCUUGCUUCUCUGGAUGAGUUGCGAACGGGUGAGUAACGCGUAGGUAACCUGCCUGGUAGCGGGGGAUAACUAUUGGAAACGAUAGCUAAUACCGCAUAAUAGCAGUUGUUGCAUGACAACUGUUUGAAAGGUGCAAUUGCACCACUACCAGAUGGACCUGCGUUGUAUUAGCUAGUUGGUGGGGUAACGGCUCACCAAGGCGACGAUACAUAGCCGACCUGAGAGGGUGAUCGGCCACACUGGGACUGAGACACGGCCCAGACUCCUACGGGAGGCAGCAGUAGGGAAUCUUCGGCAAUGGACGGAAGUCUGACCGAGCAACGCCGCGUGAGUGAAGAAGGUUGUCGGAUCGUAAAGCUCUGUUGUAAGAGAAGAACGAGUGUGAGAGUGGAAAGUUCACACUGUGACGGUAGCUUACCAGAAAGGGACGGCUAACUACGUG